AGCCGACUCGGCUCGAUUCGCGCUGAAUUGGCUUCGAUUCGCGCCGAACCGGGCUGAUUUGGCCAGAAUCGGGCCGUAUUGGCCAUAUUGGGUCGUAUCGGCCGGCGACCGAUACGGCCGAAACAGGCUGGAAACGGCCAAAAUCUGCCUUGAAACUCGCCGGAACAGCCGAAAUUCUGACCUCAGAGGCAUAGUAAUGUGUUUCUUUCCUUCUUCUUUGUUUGUUUUGUGAAUCAAGGCAUAGUAAUGUGUUUUUUAAGAAUAUUUUAAUAGUAAAAAUAUAUAGAAAAUAUAAAUAAAAAUAUUUUUAAUGAUUUUUUAAUUGCCGAGUCCCGCCGCACCCGCACCCUACUUUUUCAAAAAUUGCCGAAUCCUGCACCCGCACCUGAGUCCCGAAAUGCUCCCGUGCUUCAUAGUUUAUGCCUGACUUGAGCUGGGAUGGUGCAGUUUUUGUUGAAGUAGAAGAUAAAGGUAUAUCAAAUACAAUGAAGAGAGAGAGAGAGAGAUUGAUUGAUUGAUUGAUUUGAAUAUGCAAGUUUCAUCAGAUGGGAUUCAGCCAAAUCUGAGGAGGCCUACGUUUGAAGAUGUGUCAUCCUCAACACAAUGGCGAAUAUUGUCUCUUACAGUGAGGUUGGUAAUUUUGAUGUCUGCAUGGAGGUUGAUCAUGGGUGGAAUUUGCCUUCUGGGCUGGAUAAUGGCCAGUUGAAUGUUACUUUUGUUAAGGCUGAGCCAGAAUCUUUUCUUGAUGGUGCAUGAUAUUCGUGUAAAGAUGCUGCUGAUACUGCAAGGAUGAAGGGUUACGCUGAGGAUAAGGUUUCCAUUGGAAAAGCAGAUCUGCUGAAAAAUAUUCCUGAAAAUUGUGAGCUGAUGAACUUCGUUAAAGUAGCUAGGAAUUUGUGGCUAAAAAACUGUGAAUUUCUUCAAGAAUGUGCAAUUCAUCUAUUGUGUCUUUGACCGAUUUGGUGAUUAUGUAUCAGAUCAGGUUGUUGCUCCUGUUCGGGAGACCUGUGCACAAGCAGUAGGUGCCUUGUUUAAGUACAUGCAUCCCACAUUAGUUCAUGAAAGCUUAAAUAUAUUGUGAAAAAUGAAAUGCAGGUAACUGUGACCUAAGGAUAUGCCUUUUGUGCUAAAUAAUAUCAUUAAAGUUGGUACGUUUUCAAAUAUUAUCUUCUAACUAAUAAAGUAUUUAUUCAAUCCAAAAAAAA